rnacentral:misc_RNA from 1 species
GAUGAAGAACGUAGCGAAAUGCGAUAAGUAAUGUGAAUUGCAGAAUUCAGUGAAUCAUCGAAUCUUUGAACGCACAUUGCGCCCGCUAGUAUUCUGGCGGGCAUGCCUGUCCGAGCGUCAUUUCAACCCUCAAGCCCCCGGGCUUGGUGUUGGGGAUCGGCGAGCCUCCGCGCCCGCCGUCCCCUAAAUCUAGUGGCGGUCUCGCUGUAGCUUCCUCUGCGUAGUAGCACACCUCGCACUGGGAAACAGCGCGGCCACGCCGUUAAACCCCCAACUUCUGCACGUUUGACCUCGGAUCAGGUAGGAAUACCCGCUGAACUUAAGCAUAUCAAUAAGCGGAGGA